CCCAUACCAAGCAACCAUGACAAGUUGACAACAGUCUUAAGCAGAUUUUUCAGAAAACGAGCAGUAAUUCAUCCAAAAUUUCUGAGUACCAAAAAUGACUAAAUAUAUUCAUCAUCAUGAAAGAUUCUCUAGGAAGUCAUAAGAACUGAAGUUUACGAAGCACCUAAGAGAUGUAGUUUGGGCAAACGAGCAAAAAAGGAGAACAUUGAUCACACUACAAUAAGAACAUUACAUGAGUCUUCUAAGGCCACCGGUCAUCCAGAUCAGGCUUCUUGACAAAGAUUGAGUUGUAUUGUGGUCGUGACAUCUGCAGGUAAAGUCAUUCAAUAAUUAAAGAAGGACAUAUACUCCAGUCCAAACCAGAUAUAACAGACUAUAUAAGCCAAAGUACACUAGCAUCCCAAAGUUUAACCAAAUAGCAAAUAAACCUGAUUUGCUAACUCACCCAAGGUUUAACCAAAUAACAAAUAGACCUGAUUUGCUACUCAGGCAUAUCAAGGCGACAGCUAGUACUCAAAAGGCCAAAAGCCAAAACAACAUCGAUGCAAAUGAAAGGAUUAUCUAUAUGAUUGUUCGGUUGAAUUAGAGAAUAGUUCAAACAAAAGUUAUAUCUGGCACCAACAACCAAAAUGUGCCAUUCUACUUGUCAUGCAGCAGCACAUCAAUAUUAUGUGCGGAACUAUAGUGUUUGGAUAUAGUAAAACACCAAUUUUCCCAUGUUUUCAGUUGAAUUACUUACAGACAAUAAGAGAUUAAGAAUUUAAUCAAACCAAUGAUAAAACAGGAUAAGCGCUCUUCAAGGAAGGACACGCGGUACCAAACUGAUCGAAUCCAUGCCAAUCGGUCAUAAACAAACUGCGCGGACCUCUAUGUCCAAACAUGGCCUAGAGCUAGAGGUGAAAUUCGCAAGCGAGAAAGAGACGAGGAGCGAGCGCUUACGAGAUCCUUGAAGAGGACGAAGGCGAUGAGGAAGAAGAGGACGAAGAGGAUCUCGAACUCGGCGAGGCGGACGAAGCGGAACACCUUCUCCACCGCCCUCGUCAGCAUCCCGGGCUCCCCACGCCCUCCUCCCCUCCCACGCUGCUGCCGCAUCCUUCCCUCCCUCCCGGUCGCGCCGGCGCCGCCGUCAACUCCUCCUCGACACCUCGCUACCUCCACACAUUCCAGUUCCCGAAUACUCAGAGCCCUAGAGAUCAGAUAACCCUUAGAGAGAGAGAGAGAGAGAGAGAGAGAGGAGAGAAUAGAUACCGGAUCUCCGGCUGCGCGGGCGGCUGCGUGGAGGUCUGCGGCGACGGCGACACCUCGAUCGGUCGGCGCCGAAGCGGCGGAGGCGGAGGUCGCGGCGAGGGCCGAGGGAGGAGAGAGAGGUCAGAUGACUGGGAAUGAACGGAGCGGGUGCGGGUCUGGACCCUGGAACAUGGAUUCGGGUUUUGGGUUCUUCACCACUAUGCUAGCACGGG
rnacentral:lncRNA from 1 species